CAACCCGCCCACCCAUCUGUCCUAUUGGUUCUUUACGCUGAGCCGUCAGUGCGCAGGCGCAUCACGACUUGCGUUUUAGUCUCGCCUCCCGGAAGAGAUUCUGUGAAGAACUGAGGGAGGGAACGUGGUCCUUGGUGGACCUUGCCUUUCUUCCACACUUUGUGGGCUUCCUGAGAGUUCUUGCUCCGCUAAGUGCCUGGUACAUUCUCCUGCACCCCAUCAGCGUGAUUAAGCUAUUUGAGUUCACAGCAAAAGCCCCCUGUGGCGUGGCGCGGUGCCUCCUCUCUAGUAGCCGCUAACUAGUUUUGAAGACUGGAAGUUGGAAAUCAUGGUAGCAACAUGGCUGGAUUCUUGGAAGAGACCCCUUUCCUGAUUUAUAGAUGGCCAUCUUCUCAUUGUAUCCUCAUAUGUUGGAUAGGAGAUUAUAAGAACACAAAGCCUUUUCAUGGAGGCUCCACUGUCCUAACCUAAUGACUUCUCAAAGACCUCAUCUGCAAAUUCCAUCACAGUAAGGCUUCAACAUAUGAAUCUGGGGGAGAACAAAAAUAUCCGUUCAUAGCAAAAGUACUCCUAAGGUCUACGCAUUCUACCUCAAGAAAUAAAACACUAUAAGCAAACAAUGAACUCUAAUUCAAUUAUACAACUGCUGAUAUAUUUAGGAGUGAAGUGUCCAGACAAUUAGAAGAAAAUGAGGAAAAUACAGAGGUUUUUGAACCAAGCUUCCUAACUCUCAGGCAUACACCCUGGUGAAGCUGGACUGUCUCCAACUCUGGAACAUGGCGCUAACUCUUUCACCUAGACUUCUGCAAAAAUCUUUAAAAGUAGAUCCUCAUGAUUGGGUUUGGUGGCACACACUUAUAAUCAAAUAACUUGGUAGACUGAGGCAAGAUGACCUGAAGUUUGAACCCAACCUAGGCAACUUAGUUGCCUGUCUCAAAAUAAGAAAAAAAAAUUGAAGGGCUGGGGAGGUAGCUCAGGGGUAAAGCACUGCUGGGUUCAAUCCCCAAUACUGGGGGAUUGAACUAUAUGUUUUCUUAAGACCUGUUCUAUGCUUCUCUCUUCUAUUUUUCUUAUUUAUCUUUCUUUUCAUUUUCUCCAACUGGAAUAUAAACUUUAUGGAAAAAGUGGUGUCUUAGAAGUGACCAUUGUAUCUAUUUUAAAA